UACCGACUGGUUACCGAGGCAACACCAGCGCUCACUUCCGGUCUCGUUCCUCACAAAAUGUCGCGUUUGUUUGUGUUGGUCGGAUCCCACAUUUAACAACCCGUGGAUUAAGCUGUAAUAGAGGGACCGAACUCCAACUCCAUCACAGCCCCGCAGGAGUCUGGGAUCAUGGAGCAGUACAGCAUCCUCGGCCGGAUCGGAGAAGGGGCUCACGGGAUCGUGUUUAAGGCUAAACACCUGCAGACUGGAGAAACGGUGGCUCUUAAGAAGGUGGCUCUGAGGAGGCUGGAGGAUGGCAUUCCCAACCAGGCUCUGAGGGAGAUCAAGGCUCUGCAGGAGAUCGAGGACAACGAGCACGUGGUAAAGUUGAAGGACGUCUUUCCUCACGGCACAGGCUUUGUCCUGGUCUUCAACUUCAUGCUGUCGGAUCUCUCUGAAGUGAUCAGAAACCACCAGCAACAUCUGACCCCAGCACAGGUCAAAGGUUACAUGGUGAUGCUGCUGAAGGGUGUGGCCUUUCUACACCAAAACAACAUCAUGCAUCGGGACUUGAAACCAGCCAACCUCCUCAUCAGCUCCUCUGGUCACCUGAAGAUUGCAGACUUUGGUUUGGCCAGGCUCUUCAGCUUACAGGGCAGCCGGCUCUACAGCCACCAGGUGGCCACCAGGUGGUACCGAGCUCCCGAGCUGCUGUAUGGAGCCCGCCGCUACAACCAGGGAGUGGACCUGUGGGCGGUGGGUUGCAUCUUUGGCGAGCUCCUGAACUCGUCUCCUCUGUUCCCAGGAGAGAAUGACAUCGAGCAGCUCUGCUGCGUCCUGCGGGUCCUGGGAACGCCCACGGCGGAAAGCUGGCCGGAGAUGUUGGAACUUCCAGACUACAACAAAAUCACCUUUAAGGAGAAUCCUGCCAUCCCAUUGGAGGAGAUUGUCCCGGACACGCCCCCUCAAGCCAUCCACCUGCUCUACAGGUUCCUGGUGUAUCCAUCCAACCAGCGCUGCUCUGCCAGUGAGGCUUUGCUCCAUCCAUACUUCUUCUCCUCCCCGCUUCCUGCCCACCACUCCGAGCUGCCCAUCCCUCAGCGGGGGGGUAGACCCCCACACCAGCACCAGCAGGCUCCGGCUCCAGACUUCUCAGUGAAUCUGCCCCUGCAGAACAGCGUGGUGGCCCCGGCGUUGCUUAAGCCCCGGGCGUUGCUGCUGCCCUCCUGAGGCUGUCACUCAGACACCUGCAGGAACCUCCUACUGCUCUCCUCUCAGUUAGCAGAGACUCCUCGUGAUAGUUCUGCAUCGACGUCUUCUUUUCCUUCUCAGGUCAAACAUGAGAGGACAACAAAACUCCAGAAGGAUUUCUAAAAAAGAACUUUCUAAAAUGAAGGUGGAAUAUUCCUCCUCUUCUUCACUCUCCUUCAGAUUUCCUCCAUGAAGAAUAUCUGUAGUUCCUCUGUAGCUGACUGUGUGACUGAGGGUGUAUUCAGACGGAAGAGUCUGUUGGUCCGGACCGAGUCUGCCUCAUCUGGUCCGGAUGGAGUCCUGAACCGUGCGUCUGGUAUGUAUUCAGACUGCUGUCAGUACAAGACGUUGUGCUGCUGCUUCGGUACGGUGGAGGCGCGCUGAGGGCGGUUACUGAGGAGACGACAAUUAAGAAGCUACUCUGAUAAAUGUUAAUGAAGUUUAGAUUAUCAGGAAAACAGGAGAAUCAAUGUGGAUCAAACUUUUUAAUGAACCUGCAUUCAUCCGACCACAUUUCAGGGAGUCGCUGUUGCAUCACUGCUCCGGGUUUGUCUACGGCUCUCUGUUUACAUCCCAUAAUACCCGGUUACAGUGGCUGUUUGGGUCCAGUCGUCCCGCUCAGAGCAUGGAGCCUAUUCAGACAGAGGAAACUCUAGCGAACCAAAGUUCAGUCUGAUUGGAAACGAACUGAGAAACCUUUAAAGAUGGAUAACAGAGCGGAUCCAUGCCCUGGACCAGGAUCCACAAUCAGGAUCUGGAUUCAGGUCUUGGAACAAGAUCCCGUCCUUGACCAGGAUCCAGGAUUGCCCCAGUGAUUUUAUUGGCUUUUGCCUUUAUGUACAGCGUCCUUAAGUUUUUUUUAAGACUCUUUCAAAUAAAACAGAUUUGUAAUAUGUGCUUGUAAAACAGGAUGUGUGUAUCUGUGCAAGUAAAAAAACAUUUUUAUUAUGAUCACAAAGACAUGAAUUUCUGAGGUUCUAGGGAGCGUGCUUAAGCCUCAACUCUGGAGGGCGUGAACAAAAAGAUGACACUUUCAGCAUCAUGGUGCAGCAGCCUGAAGCAAAGCUAGAAAUGUGCACACUCAGACUCCAACAUCUGUAAUGGAAAGAAAAAGAAAGGUGCAGAACAAGACAUGCUUGUGGAUUAUUCGUGUUUUCACAGUAAAUCAGUGAAACGCUGCAAAGUUCUUCACAAAUCUUGACACAUUUGAUGAAAACAACAUCAGGCCGUAAACAACCUGCAGGGUGUAAAAUGCUGGCCGGGAAAGCAUACAUGGAGCACCACAAUCAAGCAGAUGGAAAAAUAUACAGGAACAUGUGCAGAAUAUGGACUGGAAACGCCUCUGAAAUUGGCUCCUUCCUUUCCCCACACAUAGGGCUCAGUAUCACUAAUAAUUUCCAGAAAUGAUUCAAUUCUGAUUUUUUUUUAAUGUAUUCUUUCAAUCCUUUCAAUUCAUUGAGUGUACACAUUUCUACACAUUUGAUUAGAAAUACAUUAAUAAACUACUAUAUGUUUUGAAUAGGGCUGCACGGUGGCGCAGUGGU